AUUGAACGCUGGCGGCAUGCUUUACACAUGCAAGUCGAACGGCAGCACGAGUGCUUGCACUUGGUGGCGAGUGGCGCACGGGUGAGGAAUACGUAGGUAAUCUGCCUUACAGACCGGGAUAACCAGUCGAAAGAUUGGCUAAUACUGGAUAGUGCGAAUUUAACGUGAAGUUAGAUUUGGGAAACUGAGGCGUACUAGCAAUAGUAGCUUGAGCUGUAAGAUGAGCCUGCGUCCCAUUAGUUAGUUGGUGAGGUAAAGGCUCACCAAGACGAUGAUGGGUAGCUGGUCUGAGAGGACGAUCAGCCACACUGGAACUGAAACACGGUCCAGACUCCUACGGGAGGCAGCAGUGGGGAAUCUUGCGCAAUGGGGGAAACCCGUGACGCAGCGACGCCG
rnacentral:rRNA from 1 species